CAGCAAGCAGUCAUAUGUAGAGUUAAACAACAGUAACUAAAGAAUAGUGUCAAAAAGCCAUAGGUUGGAGAAGGGAUAUUACUAAGAAACUCACCAUUAACUAGCCUGAUCCAAGAAUGAAAAAAAUCUGCUUUUUCUCUCCUUUUGUUAUGGCUUAAAGCUUUCAGCUUCACAAACCAAAAUAAAUCCUG